AUGGUCGUGUUAGAGAGGUGUCCAGCAGCUGUCGUGAAGAGGCCUUCGAGGCCCUGUGCGUCGCUUCUUUGUCAUUCUUGGCUAGAGGCUGGGCAAGGCGAGUCCCAUGCCUUCACGUUCCGAAGAAUGGGUUGUCUCCACACCUGGUUGUAUACCGUCUUAUGCCUUCGUGCUUUCUUUUCUUUUCCUGGCCUCGCCAAAAUUUGGUCCCUUGUGCUUUCUUCUUAUGAAAAUGACCUGCUCCCAGGCAUGUUCGAGAGAAAAAUGCUGAAGUAUAAAGAAAAUCUCAUUGGUUUAGGACUCGGUCAGGCACACCAAUUUUUUGGCUUCCUUCCAAGUUUUGUGAAGAAAAAAAGCAGGAACUCUGCUGAUCAGUUAAAGGUAGGAGUUACGGUUUACCUGCAGAACUGA
rnacentral:rRNA from 1 species